rnacentral:rRNA from 1 species
UACGUAGGGUGCGAGCGUUGUCCGGAAUUACUGGGCGUAAAGAGCUCGUAGGUGGUUUGUCGCGUUGUUCGUGAAAACUCACAGCUCAACUGUGGGCGUGCGGGCGAUACGGGCAGACUAGAGUACUGCAGGGGAGACUGGAAUUCCUGGUGUAGCGGUGGAAUGCGCAGAUAUCAGGAGGAACACCGGUGGCGAAGGCGGGUCUCUGGGCCGUUACUGACGCUGAGGAGCGAAAGCGUGGGGAGCGAACAGG